rnacentral:rRNA from 1 species
AGAGUUUGAUCCUGGCUCAGGAUGAACGCUGACAGAAUGCUUAACACAUGCAAGUCGAUGGGGAAGUGGUGCUUGCACCAUGGUAACCAUGGCGGACGGGUGAGUAACGCGUAAGGGACUUACCUGCAGGACUGGGAUAACAGGGGGAAACUCCUGACAAGACCGGAUAAUGUCAUGGAGCUGCAUGGCUUUAUGAUGAAAGGAGACGCCUGCGGAGAGCCUUGCGUCCUAUUAGCUAGUUGGUGAGGUAAUGGCUCACCAAGGCGAAGAUAGGUAGCCGGCCUGAGAGGGUGGACGGCCACAAGGGGACUGAGAUACGGCCCUUACUCCUACGGGAGGCAGCAGUGGGGAAUAUUGGACAAUGGGGGCAACCCUGAUCCAGCAAUUCUGUGUGCACGAAGAAGGUUUUCGGAUUGUAAAGUGCUUUCAGCAGGGAAGAAGAAAGUGACGGUACCUGCAGAAGAAGCGACGGCUAAAUACGUGCCAGCAGCCGCGGUAAUACGUAUGUCGCGAGCGUUAUCCGGAAUUAUUGGGCAUAAAGGGCAUCUAGGCGGCCAGGCAAGUCUGGGGUGAAAACUUGCGGCUCAACCGCAAGCCUGCCCUGGAAACUGCCUGGCUAGAGUGCUGGAGAGGUGGACGGAACUGCACGAGUAGAGGUGAAAUUCGUAGAUAUGUGCAGGAAUGCCGAUGAUGAAGAUAGUUCACUGGACGGUAACUGACGCUGAAGUGCGAAAGCUGGGGGAGCGAACAGGAUUAGAUACCCUGGUAGUCCCAGCCGUAAACGAUGAUUACUGGGUGUGGGCAUGAAGAGUGUCCGUGCCGAAGCUAAUGCGAUAAGUAAUCCGCCUGGGGAGUACGGCCGCAAGGCUGAAACUCAAAGGAAUUGACGGGGACCCGCACAAGCGGUGGAGCAUGU